UGGGAAGAGAGAAAGGGGAUUGCAAGAAAGAAAAAAAGAGAGAGACGUUGUUAGAAAUACUUAGAAGAGAGAAUCCAAUUAAAUAGAUUAUAGACGUCAACACACUGUAUGUAAUGUAACAGAUUAGAGCGAUGUGUGUGCGUGAGAGACAGAGAGACUGUUUGCAAAAUAACCACUUUAAAAGGGACAACCAGGUGUAUGUAGGCCUGCCUCCAUUUAAUUGAUUGAUUAGCCAGGCUGAAGACGUGGCUGAAGACAGGUAUGACAGGUAUGUUAGCCAGCUUGCAACCGCUUCAGGCAUAAUGAACAGGUGUUCCCUGCACAGCAACCGCUUCAGGUAUAACCACCAGGCGGUCCCUGCACAGCAACCGCUUCAGGUAUAACCACCAGGCGGUCCCUUCACGUGGCAGCCGUGUUAAAAUGAGUCGGGUCGGAAACAACUCCAUCAGUCUUUGGCUGUUUUUCACCACUCGGAACUACUUGCUGGUGCUGUACUGCUGAAACAUUGUUCCAUGUAUUCUGUCCGGGCCGGGUUUUCUUUGCCCUCUUCCACUCUGCAGAUUUAUGUGUUUUUGUGCCCUGUAAUUAUUUAGUCCUUGGAUCGACACGUAGCUAAUAUAAGUACGUUUAUCAUGUUAGGAUCUCAGGCUUUGUGUGGAGAAAUAAAAUGACAAAGGUCUUAUUUCACAGACAGAGAUUAAGCCUUGUCUAGCACCGAAAAACCCAGCUCAGUGGAGUUCUCAUGAAGCCGGUGUGGUAGGUUUAGACACAAACUACGUUCCUGAAAUAGUCAACAUUUUCUGUGUGUUUUCUGUGAAUAGAUGUCGAUCUGCUGAUCCUAAUGUGGUUUUCAAAGUGUGAAACUAAGUCAGACUGGCUGUAGAGCUCAGAACCACAUAAGAAGAUAUUAGACAAAGAUAUGGAAGAGGGAUGGGCUGAAAAAGUGAUGAGAUCUGUACUUCAGUUCAUGUCCAUCUCCUUUUGACAAAUACAGAAAGAACCAAAGAAAUGGUUGCUUCAUACAUUUAUUUUGGGUGAAACCAUAGGUGCUCUCUCUCGAAAAAAUUCUAUGUUAUAUUGGCAGUUAAGUAUAUAGUAGCUAAAACAAAAUGUUUACAUACUAUUAACAAAAGAAUAUAUCCAAAACAUUGACUGUCAUAAAUACACUGACUUUCUAAAGUAAAA
ensembl:lncRNA